GUGAGUGUGUUUGUUUAUCUCAAGUGCUUCUGCGGUGAGCUGUGUGCCGUUGUGCGCCUCGCGCUGAGAGGUUUGAAAAGCAUCCAGUGCUCCUGUCUUCCUGCGAGCACGUCUCCUAGCAACACACUCCGAGUCCAAACACCAGCUGCUGCAGAGGAUAUCAGUGAUAACAGAGAGACUCCUUAAAACAUCUGAGCAUGCCAGAGAAUGGAGAGAGAGAACGAGUCGAGUGUACAGCGUUGGCAUCUGUUGAUGUCGAGUGCUUAUUCUACUGAGUGUUGUGAAGAAGUUUGUUUAUUUUGAGAGUGUUUUUGGAUUGAGUAAAAGCACAGAAAGAGUGCAUAUGCUGUGCACAGAGGCAAAGGAAAUAAAAGUCUACCUGAAGCGUGUCACUGCUCCCCGUCUCCUCAUUUCCAUACACGAACUCUGACGUGGUGUCACACUGGUGCCGAAACCUGGGAUUUGAGGAGAUAAGUCAUCAUGGAGUCCUCACCACUGGGCGAAGUGAUCAAGACCCUCGCCGGCAUCAAGCAAAACCAGCAUCAGGCCCUCGUCGAGCUGUGGCUAGAGCAGGCCCAAAUGGAGGACAGACAGGCGUUCCGAAGCCUGAAAAGACAAGAGGGUGUUGCUGCGGACACCCCGGAGCCCACCUCGACUGUCCAGCCAGUCGCCCUUGUGAAAAUGGGGCUGGCAGACAAUCCAGAAGCCUACCUCGAUCUUUUUGAGAAUGUGGGAAUGGCCGCCUGACGAGUGGGUGGCCCGGCUGUUGCCAUUACUCUCCGGGGAAGUGCAGCUUGCGGCCCAACAGCUCCCCGCAGCCAACAUCCUCAUCUAUGCUGACUUGAAGAGAGCCAUUCUGGAGCGGGCUGGCCAGACCCCCGAACAGAGCUGACAGCACUUCUGCGCCCUGAAGCUGGGCAAACACUACCAUCCGUUCACCUUCGCAAAGCAGCUCUGGGAUGCCUGCCAGAAAUGGUUGCAGGCAGGGGAACCCCGCGGCACCCAAGACUUCACGGGCAAGGUGGUUCUGGAGCAGUUCAUUGCCCAGCUGCCCUGUGGGAUAGCCGAGUGGGUCUAGUGCCACCGUCCGGCAUCGCUGGAGGAAGCGAUUCAGCUGGCCGAGGACUACAUGACGGCGCUUCCGGGAAGCAGUGAUCCAGAGUCUCUCUCUGUCUUAUCUCUCUCUCUCAUCUCCCCUGCUAACUCUGCCUCUCUCUGCUUCCCCCCCAGGUUGGUGAGUCCGUUCCCAUGGGUGUAGGAGGGGGGCCUGGGCCGGUCUGUUGGAGCUGCAGGGAUCCAGGGCAUUUCCAGGACCGCUGCCCCGUAAUGGAGGGAAGACAUCCUCCUCCCUCAUGCGGUACCCUUCCUGCAGGCUCAUCCUGACAUGACCCUCCAGCAUGACAAUGCCACCAGCCAUACUGCUCGUUCUGUGCGUGAUUUCCUGCAAGACAGGAAUGUCAAUGUUCUGCCAUGGCCAGCGAAGAUCACGGAUCUCAAUCUCAUUGAGCAUGUCUGGGACCUUUUGGAUCGGAGGGUGAGGGCUAGAGUCAUUCCCCCCAGAAAUGUCCGGGAACUUGCAAGUGCCUUAGUGGAAGAGUGGGGUAAAAACUCACAGCAAGAACUGGCAAAUCUGAUACAGUCCAUGAGGAGGAGAUGCACUGCAGUACUUAAUGCAGCUGGUGGCCACACCAGAUACUGACAGUUACUUUUGAAUUUGACCCCCCCUUUGUUCAGGGACACAUUAUUCCACUUCUGUUAGUCACAUGUCUGUGAAACUU